rnacentral:rRNA from 1 species
UACGGAGGGGGCUAGCGUUGUUCGGAAUUACUGGGCGUAAAGCGCACGUAGGCGGACUGUUAAGUCGGGGGUGAAAUCCUGGGGCUCAACCUCAGAAUUGCCUCCGAUACUGGCAGUCUCGAGUGCGGGAGAGGUGAGUGGAAUUCCGAGUGUAGAGGUGAAAUUCGUAGAUAUUCGGAGGAACACCAGUGGCGAAGGCGGCUCACUGGUCCAUUACUGACGCUGAGGUGCGAAAGCGUGGGGAGCAAACAGG